rnacentral:rRNA from 1 species
AGAGUUUGAUCCUGGCUCAGGAUGAACGCUAGCUACAGGCUUAACACAUGCAAGUCGAGGGGCAUCAGGAAGAAAGCUUGCUUUCUUUGCUGGCGACCGGCGCACGGGUGAGUAACACGUAUCCAACCUGCCCUUUACUCGGGGAUAGCCUUUCGAAAGAAAGAUUAAUACCCGAUAGCAUAAUGAUUCCGCAUGGUUUCAUUAUUAAAGGAUUCCGGUAAAGGAUGGGGAUGCGUUCCAUUAGGUUGUUGGUGAGGUAACGGCUCACCAAGCCUUCGAUGGAUAGGGGUUCUGAGAGGAAGGUCCCCCACAUUGGAACUGAGACACGGUCCAAACUCCUACGGGAGGCAGCAGUGAGGAAUAUUGGUCAAUGGGCGUUAGCCUGAACCAGCCAAGUAGCGUGAAGGAUGAAGGCUCUAUGGGUCGUAAACUUCUUUUAUAUAAGAAUAAAGUGCAGUAUGUAUACUGUUUUGUAUGUAUUAUAUGAAUAAGGAUCGGCUAACUCCGUGCCAGCAGCCGCGGU